rnacentral:rRNA from 1 species
CCUACGGGAGGCAGCAGUGAGGAAUAUUGGUCAAUGGACGGAAGUCUGAACCAGCCAUGCCGCGUGCAGGAAGACGGCUCUAUGAGUUGUAAACUGCUUUUGUACGAGGGUAAACGCAGAUACGUGUAUCUGCCUGAAAGUAUCGUACGAAUAAGGAUCGGCUAACUCCGUGCCAGCAGCCGCGGUAAUACGGAGGAUCCAAGCGUUAUCCGGAUUUAUUGGGUUUAAAGGGUGCGUAGGCGGUUUAGUAAGUCAGCGGUGAAAUUUUGGUGCUUAACACCAAACGUGCCGUUGAUACUGCUGGGCUAGAGAGUAGUUGCGGUAGGCGGAAUGUAUGGUGUAGCGGUGAAAUGCUUAGAGAUCAUACAGAACACCGAUUGCGAAGGCAGCUUACCAAACUAUAUCUGACGUUGAGGCACGAAAGCGUGGGGAGCAAACA